rnacentral:lncRNA from 1 species
AUGCUUCUUGCAAAAGAUCUCUUUCAUCCCUCUCCAGAAGAGGAGAAAAGGAAACACAAGAAGAAAUACCUGGUGCAGAGCCCCAGUUCCUACUUCAGGGAUGUGAAAUGCCCAGGACGCUAUAAAAUCACCACGGUCUUUAGCUAUGCACAAACAGUAGUUUUGUGUGUUGGCUGCUCCACUGUCCUCCACUUGCCUACAGGAGGAAAAGCAAGAUUUACAGAAGGAUGUUCCUUCAGGAGGAAGCAG